ACUUGUCGAUGCUCGAUUGAGGAGCCUGGUAACGUCACUUCCGGGGCCUGGUUCGGUUUCCUGCUUUUCGUUCUUGCGAGGGACGGCGUACGCCUUAGAUUAUUUACUGUCUGUUUUUGAAGAAUUUAACGCAAACAUGGAUAUCAGACCAAAUCAUACAAUUUAUAUCAACAAUAUGAAUGACAAAAUUAAAAAGGAAGAAUUGAAGAGAUCUCUCUAUGCCCUGUUUUCUCAGUUUGGUCAUGUGGUGGACAUUGUGGCUUUAAAGACAAUGAAAAUGAGGGGGCAGGCCUUUGUCAUAUUUAAGGAACUGGGCUCAUCCACGAAUGCUUUGAGACAGUUACAAGGAUUUCCAUUUUAUGGUAAACCAAUGCGAAUACAGUAUGCAAAGACAGAUUCGGAUAUAAUAUCUAAAAUGCGUGGCACCUUUGCUGACAAAGAAAAGAAAAAGGAAAAGAAAAAAGCCAAAACUGUGGAACAGACGGCAACAACCACAAACAAAAAGCCUGGCCAGGGAACUCCAAAUUCAGCCAAUACCCAAGGAAAUUCAACACCAAAUCCUCAGGUCCCUGAUUACCCUCCAAACUAUAUUUUAUUCCUUAAUAACUUACCAGAAGAGACUAAUGAGAUGAUGUUAUCCAUGCUGUUUAAUCAGUUCCCUGGCUUCAAGGAAGUACGUCUAGUACCAGGGAGGCAUGACAUUGCUUUUGUUGAAUUUGAAAAUGAUGGGCAGGCUGGAGCUGCCAGGGAUGCUUUACAGGGAUUUAAGAUCACACCAUCCCAUGCUAUGAAGAUCACCUAUGCUAAGAAAUAACAUUUGGGAUAGUCGUCUUUAAAGGACUUGAUACUAUUUCUCUGGCUAGAGCUCAAGAAGAUUAUAAUGCCCCGGACUGUAGAUUCAUUAAUGUUAAAAAAGGACAGCAGAUCUAUGUGUACUCAAAGCUGGUAAAAGAAAAUGAAGCUGGAGAAUUUUGGGCUGGCAGUGUUUAUGGUGAAGGCCAGGACGAGAUGGGAAUCGUGGGUUAUUUCCCCAGCAACUUGGUCAAGGAGCAGCGUGUGUACCAGGAAGCUAUCAAGGAAGUUCCCACCACGGAUAUUGACUUCUUCUGCGAGUAAUAAAUUAGUUAAAGCUGCAAAUGGAAAGAAAACACCAAAAAUAAAGAAAAGAGCAAAAGUGAUUAAAAAAUGCAUGUCUUUAACUUCUGACUGACGUUGUAAGAAUUUGUUAGCUUACAGAAGAGCGAGGGCUUAGGGUUUGGAGGUGGCAGAUGCAAGAGGAUUUUCAACUCCAGUCUUGUUUCCUGCUGGCCUGGUCUUCGCACGAGCUAGAGCGGGGAGAUGUUGAGCUCAAAUGGGUAAAUCAAAACCAGAGAAUUGUUUUUCCAACUUUUUUCCAACCUAGAGAAUCUCCUUGGGGGACGCAUAUAAAAGAUCAUUUAUUUGUAGUUAUUGCUGAGCAGUAAUUCUUCCCAGCGCUCUGACUUCCUGUAUAUAAAAUAGGCGGGUCAUAGGUCUUCCUUUUAGUCAUGGUGUUUUCUACUUAUUUUUGUCUCUGGCCAACUGGAGUGUUAAUAGUGUGUCUGAAGGGGCUGUAUUAUUAAGGAGUAUUCUAGUAUUUUUGUCACCUUUAAUAUUUGAUGCCUUUUGGAGGUAAAGCUGUUGGGGGAAAGAAGAGUUUUUGGACCCAUAGGUGUUUGGAAGAUGUCUCUAAUUUGUCGUUUAGAAAAAUCUCAAAAAUGAUUUCAGUUGAAAAAUUUGCCUUCCAAAUGAUCAACUUACUUCUCCCUCAAUUUUAAAGAAAUAUGUGUAUAUAUAACAGGAGAAGGUAGUUUAUGGGAAUAGUUUUAAUGGAAUGUUUUCCCUUAAUGUGCAUCCUUGCCGGAUAUUAUUCAAGCUUCAAGUCAUCAAAAGACCCAGAAAAAAAAAAAUCUGUGGGUUAUUUUCUCUACUUCUAUUUCAACUUUGAAUUUCCUCUUCCUGUGCAAAUUUCUGUAGUCAAGUGUGAUAUGUCAAGAAAUCUGAGGGGAAUGCAGGUUUUGUGGUCCUGAUGGGCCCACAAGUUUUUCUAUAUUUAACUGGAAAUACGCUUUGAUUUUGUGUUAUUAAUAUCAUUCUUUUGAUGUAGUCAUGAGUCUUUCUUUGUUUGCAUAUAAUUAAAAUGCCUGUACUCUACUUAAUGUC